CAAAGACAUUUAUUAAAUUGGUUGCAAUGAAAUACUGUAAUUUUCUUGUGAUAUUGAAAGAAUAAUAUAACAAUAUAGAGAGUAUAAAAUUGAUGGAAUUUUUAUCUGUCCCAUAAAAUAUUUAUAGUGCUCUAUCCUAAAUGAUUAUUGUCCCAAAAUAUAUGGCCUUUCUGUAAUUAUAUUUGCAUCAAUUAUACAUUAAAGGUGAAAUAGCCAGGAUUACCAAGUUGAACUUGUAAAAAUGUCUAGUUUUUGCAUAUUUUUUAUUUUGAUGACUACUUCUUUAUAACUAAUUAUUUUCGAAAUAUAUAUUUUUGUAUAUCUAAACAGAUAGUGCAAUAACAAACAAAAAAAGACAAAAUAAUUCAACAGCAAUUUUGUAAGACUAGCUUCAAUACAAAAUACUUUGAAUAACAUCCCAUUGUAUGGAGUUAAAAUUUGCAAUUUCUUAAAUAUUUCGGUGAAUUUUCGUUUUUAUGAAAUUGUGAAUUAUAUUUAAAGAAACAGUACCAGACUUUAAAAGAAAAAAAUAUUUUGUCAGCUUGUCAAAGGUCAUUUUAAAUAUUGAAUUUCAUUUUUCCUCAUUAAAUGCAAUAGUACUGCCAUCUUAUUGUUGGAAAUGCAAUUAAUUUGACCCCAUGGUCUAUCAAUUCGCCGUUUCAGAAUCUAAUGCAGCCUGGGUAAUAUUUUCAAAAGUGUACACAAAAACGUCCUGAUUGGUCAAAAAUGUACAUCAAAACGUCCUGAUUGGUCAAAAAUGUCAUAAACAAUAGAAAUGUAACCAACAUUUUAUAUCUUUGAUGUGAUUAGAUUUUUCUUAGUUUUAACAUAAAUGUAUACGGAAACAUUUUAUGGAAAAAUAGAUAUAAUGGUUCCCAAAUAAAUUCCAAUAUAACAUUGAAUUUUUUAUACUUUACAUUUUGUCUUCUACAUUUGGGUUAUUGGCCUUAUUAUGUGUGCAUUUAUGAAACAAACCGCUUUAAGGAUUCACAUAAAUGCAUUUUAAAUGUACUCAGAUUUUAUAUAUAUUAUUCUGUUUUGAUUGGUUUUUUUUCAAAGACAUUUUACUUUUAUUUAAAUACAUCUUUCUGUACUUAAGUGUAUUGAAUCAGUAUUAUUUUUCUUGAACACUUGGAAGUGGUUCAUAUUUUUGUCUGUCUAUUUAUUAUGUAGGUCAGUGGGUUUGUAAACUUUUGGAAAAAUCGUUAAAAGUAAUUAAAGAGAUUUUGUAAAUGUGCUUUGUAUUGAGUUCUUUGUGAGAUAUGACCUCGCUAUGGUAUUAUAAUUAAUGAAAGCAGAAAAACAAUUUGUUAAAGCUAAUGAGGAAAUUUCUCGCAAAACAUCAUUCUUUCUCAUAGGAGGUUUAAAAACAUUUUUUGGGGGGAUUCAAUAAAUAUACUACAUGCGACGUAUCUAUCAUAAAUAACAAAAGAUAUAUUGGAAGUAUGGGUUUAUCAAAUAUAUUUAUUCUGUAUGAAAAAAAAUUACCAGUGAAAAAAUUCGUUUAGUGCUUUAUUUAAUGCUUAUUAUUUGUCCACUGGAUUUCAUAGCUUAUGAUAUAUUUUUUACACUGGCUGUUUCAAAGAUUGGUUCCGAAAUGGGGGAGGGGCGAUUACAUAGAACUUUAUAGAACUGCUUCACUAAAGACAGCAGUCUUUGUUGUUUAAUAUACUGUAAAUUCAGAAAUAAUUGUGAGCAUUUAUUAUUGAGAUUUUGUUAUUUAAGACUUAAAUGUGAUUUUAAUUUUUACGAUUUUGAGAAAAAUCCUGUUUGAUUAAUAUAAAAUAUUUCAAAAUGCGAGUUUAAAUAAUUCCGUUUACAAGUUGCAUUUUCGCAAUAAUAAAAACCUUGCAAUUAUUUCUGAUUUUACAGAACAUGUAGUUAUAAUGUAAUUAAGAAAAUAAAACACACUUGUGUUACACCAGUUGUGUAUAUUGUUAACUGUUGUCAAGAUAAAUCAGGGUUGGUAUUAAUGUUGUAACAGUGUACUACAUGUAUGUAUAUAUCUAAACUUGAUUUAUAGAGAAUCUCACCGUGUUUGAUUCUAGUCGCUAUAUAAAUUUUUUCUAUGGUGCCCUAAUUUAUUUUGCUAAGAGAAUAAAUUUCUUUAUUAGGGCUGUCCAGAGGGGGGGGGAGGGGGUUUCAAAACCAAUAUAUUUUGUUUGCUUGUACUUCUUUUAUGCUUUCAUUUGUUCUAAACAUAACAUCCUAUAAAAAUAUGUACUAAGUAAUUGUUGGUCUUAAAAACCCAAAUAAAACAGACUGAGCAGCCUUCAAAAAAUGUUUUAUGAUUGUUAUGUUGAGACAAAAUAGAUUCAAAUAUUUUAUAAAAAUAGUAAAUAUUUUAUUUUUAAAAAAUAGUAAAUAUUUUAUUUUUUAAAAAUAGUAAAUAUUUUAUUUUUUAAAAAUAGUAAAUAUUUUAUUUUUUAAAAAUAGUAAAAAAAAAUUAUGUGAAAAUGGAUUGAAAAGGUUUUCAUGAAUUGAGAGAUGUAUAAGAAACAUUAUAGAAAUUAGUACCAACUAGAAAUGCCAAUUUUGUUAGCCUCACCUUUUUAGUUUGAGGCUACAAGGUAACAAAGAAGACACCCUCUUGCUUGAGGUUUUAUAUUUAUAGAAUAUAGUUGUAAUUUAGAAAUUAUACAUGCUGCACAUUACUAUAAGAAGUGUCAAAUAGUAGUCAGUUAUGCUCAAUUACCAAUUUUAUUUCUGUGAUAAUCUCAAUUUUGCUAGAUAAUGUUUUUUUCUGCUUUUUUUGCUAUAUUUGUUUUUUUGACAUUUAUUUUGUCAUUUCUAUAAUGUUAUCUGUGAUAUAAAGAACGCAAGUAAAAUAAAAUGUUUCAUUGAAAUUUCAAUGAAGAAAA
rnacentral:lncRNA from 1 species